AUCGCCCAUCUGGGCUGUGAAUCACAUUUUUCACCUUGGAAAAUGUAAACCUCAGUCACACCGUGUCAUGCGCAGGAACAGAGAUAACGUGUGAUUGUGAAAGGAGGCUCUGCUAACCUAAAUGGAUCUAAACUGCCUAAAAUGCUUUGCAAUGCCUUGGUGAACUCACCUCGUGUUGUAGGUAAUUGAACAUGUUCAGAAGUUUAUUAGAUGAGGAAUGGGAGGAAAUCCUGUCAAAGAUUUUUAGGCAGGAAACUGGUAACUUUUGCCUUACUUCUUUCUUCAAUUUUGCUUUCACAUGUGCCAGGAAAAGUAAGGAUUGUGAAUUACCUCCUACUUAAACUUAUUACAGACUUCUUAGUCUUGCAGGGUGGAAGAAAGUCUGUGAUACCCAUCAUAUUGCUGGAGAAUCAUUUCUUCCUUGCCACUGUGUAAAGGUUUGUGGCUGGCUCAGAUAAGGAAACAUUAACAUAUCCCUUUUAUGUUGGCUACAUGAACAAUAUGAGGUGAUGAUACAAAAGAUGUAUAAAAGAAAGCCCACAUAAGGAUGACUCAUUGCAGUUGGGUUCCAGGAAAAGCACACCCCAUGAGGAGAUGAGUAUGCAAGGAGUUCUUUUUGGGAUCAACACAUAUAGAAGAGAAGAAAGCAGCAUCGGGACAAGGGAGAAGCCGAACUGUGAUGCAGUCAGCUUUCAGCGAAGCCAUGGGAGCUCUAGAACUGGAAUAGCCCCUCAGAGAUGCCCUGACUUGGGCAAGAGUGCAGACUUUAUACCUCCAUGUUGACCAGUCAUUGCAUGCACACUGCGAGAUCUGAGAGACCCUGGGAAAGGGACAUGAUCUUGGACUAGGGGACUGUCUUCCCCUAAGUGAAAUAAUUGGAUGUAUUAGCCAGUAGCACUUCUAGAAGCUGGAAGAUGAAGUCAUGUAGUUCUGAAGGGGGGCAUCUGGGUUUCACAGCUCAGCACUCGUUACACAGCCGCGAUUCUGUACCUAGCUGCUUUAUUUUCUCUGUACAUAAGUUAUAUUAAGCAUCUAUUUACUUUGUUAUUGUUUGACGUUCCCCAAAGUGAAAACUCCGUGAUAGCAAGGGAUGUGCCUGUCUUGUGUAUCUCCAUUGCCUAAAAUGGUGCUUGGGAUAUUGUUGUCAUUUACUGUCAAAAGAAAUAAUCUAAGGUAUUUGCUUAAUAAACGAAUGUGAAGUUUUUGUGUUUUAGAAA